rnacentral:rRNA from 1 species
UUCCGGUUGAUCCUGCCGGACCCGACCGCUAUCAGAGUGAGAUUAAGCCAUGCGAGUUAACGUAGCAAUACGUGGCGCACGGCUCAGUAACACGUAGUCAACAUGCCCAGAGGACGUGGAUAACCUCGGGAAACUGAGUCUAAACCGCGAUAAGUGAGGAUUUCUGGAAUGGUUCCUGACUAAAAUCUAUAUGGCCUCUGGAUUGGACUGCGGCCGAUCAGGCUGUUGGUGAGGUAAUGGCCCUCCAAACCUGUAACCGGUACGGGCUCUGAGAGGAGGAGCCCGGAGAUGGGCACUGAGACAAGGGCCCAGGCCCUAUGGGGCGCAGCAGGCGCGAAACCUCUGCAAUAGGCGAAAGCCUGACAGGGUUACUCUGAGUGACUUUCGCUAAGAAAGUCUUUUGGCACCUCUAAAAAGGGUGCAGAAUAAGGGGUGGGCAAGUCUGGUGUCAGCCGCCGCGGUAAUACCAGCACCCCGAGUGGUCGGGACGAUUAUUGGGCCUAAAGCAUCCGUAGCCGGUUCUGCAAGUCCCCCGUUAAAUCCAGCUGCUCAACAGAUGGGCCGCGGAGGAUACUACAGAGCUAGGAGGCAGGAGAGGCAAGCGGUACUCAGUGGGUAGGGGUAAAAUCCGUUGAUCCAUUGAAGACCACCAGUGGCGAAGGCGGCUUGCCAGAAUGCGCUCGACGGUGAGGGAUGAAAGCUGGGGGAGCAAACCGGAUUAGAUACCCGGGUAGUCCCAG